GUUGUGAAUAGAUUAUUUUAAAUAUAUUAAGAAUCUGUGUGUGGGGACUGGAAUGUGAGGCUUGAGCUCCAGCUUUCUCAGCUUUUUGGUAUGAUGGUGAGGUUUGUGGAGUUGCAGGGAGCACAAAAGAAAAGGUGGCCAUACUUUCCAACAGUAAUAGAGUAAUUACAUUUGAAAACAAUGGGAAGUGGUCGGUGGGAUGCAGGGAAAUAGAA
rnacentral:lncRNA from 1 species